GUGGUCUUUCCAGGUCCAUUUUCUGCUUCAGCUUUAAUGAUGCAUUUUAAGGAGAGCCGUGUACUCUCUGUCUCUGUACUCAGACUGCAGCAAGUAUCGGCCCAGCCACCCUUUCAGAUCCACUUCAAGCAAACAGGCUAGAAACUGCUCCCCAUGGUUUUGUCUGAACUGGCUGACAUUCUGCAUCACACACUGGGUCCAAGGCUGGAGUCAGGAACCUAGAAGUGAGCGAGCAUCGAACUGCACUUAGCAGAGUGAGGCAGGCGGGCCUGCGAGAAAGGAUGUAGAUGUACUGCCUCCUGGACUGGGUCAGACAGUCACAGAAUACAGGCUUCAAACUGCUUUUCACACCAUUCUGGUUGGAAAUGGAACCUUUGGAGGCUCAUCAUGUUACCUUUAGCAAAACUGGAAACCAGACGUUGAGAAUGCCAGUGGCCAGCCUUUCAUUAAAAAGCUUUGCAAAGGAAGUCUCUCGACAUCUAUCUUCUGUGACCUCAAGAGCACCAUUCUGCGUAAGAUACUUGUGAGGAGAAGAGGAAGAUUUAGAUAAAAUUUGGGGUUUGGGACUUACAGAUCUAAGACUGGACAGAGAGCAACAAAACAUCUGGCAAAGGAUCUUGGAAAUCUGGCUGAGAAAUUUUUAAAAGUAUUCAUUUCUUGUCCCCCAUAGCUUGAAUAACUAAAAAGUUUCCCUAAAAAUUUUUAUUGGACUUGAGAAUAAGUCAUUACUUUUCCAGUGUGAAGAUGCUGAUAUUACUAGAGGCACUGGGCAUCUUAUGCCAUUUCUGUAACCUAUUUUUAUAUGGGUGAGCCAACAACAGCCAUUUUUGUCUUGAGUAGUAUCCAUGUAAUUGAAAAUGUGACAAUUCUUUUAAAACAUCAUCAACAGACUUCCUAAUUAAGCUGCCAAUACAAACUGAACUGUCAAUGUCACCGUGUGCUGUUUGACAAAUGAAUAGUGUUGCUUGAACCGUGUUAAGUAAACAGUGCUGUCCCUUCUAUGAAGAGUUUCAUGUUUUCUUUGUACCAUAGCACUUACUAAAUAACUUGACAAAAUUCUCA
rnacentral:lncRNA from 1 species